rnacentral:lncRNA from 1 species
GAUCGAACCAGAAGCAAAACAGUUGAGUUGAAGAUCGAAGCUCUAGGUCAAAACACACUCUCUCUUUCUCAAUUUUUGUAGUUUUUUCUUUCGACUUCAUCAAAGUCUAAACCCUAAAUGCUCGCCUUCUCAAGCACAACAACUUCAAAAGGAUUUAUCAUUUUCUUGGAGAUCUUAUAGAGUCGUAUUCUUAGCAUCAUCAAAGUCAGCCGCGUCGAGCCGUCAUGGUCUGUGUGACAAGCUAAAAGGUCACAUUGACUUGAGCAAAAGAAUAGUUAAGCUUGUAAAUAGAGGCAGAACAAUUAGCAAGCUCGUUCACUCUAUCGUGCGACCCGUGCCUGAGACUCUUGGAAUCGAAUUAGAGGUAUUGAUUUUGAUUUGAUUGUCGACAUAUUUUUGUUUUUAGAUUUUUUUUUUUUUUAUAUUUUAUAGUGUUUAAUUAGCAAUAAAUUUGAAUUUCUAGAGUAAUUUAGGUGUACUGGCGAAUUAAAUGUUGAUUUUAUGUAUUUACUUUUUGAUUUGAAAUCCGCUUUCUCUUAAGUGUUAUUCGUUUGUGUUUCGAAUGCAGGUUUAGUGCUUGAUGAAUUGCCUCAUUCGGGUCUACUUUUUAUGAUGCAGAAAACUUAUUGUUUUUUUUUUCUAUCUAAAUUUGGUUGUUAUUAAUUAAUAAAAGUAGAGAGAUUCAGUUGUUAUUCUUGGUUCUUUAUGCAGAUGGUGCUCUUGCUUUUCUUCUGUGUUCUAUUCUUUUUGUUCAAGAUAUUUAUAGUUGUCGAUCCAAUAUUUAUUUAUUCAUUAGUUUUUACUGAAAGCAUAAAUACUCUUCCACUCGCCAAAAAUUAUUUUAUUCCAGUAGUUUUUCAAUUGUAAUGCCAGCUAGGUCCUACCAAUGCUAUUAUUUUAUGCCAGUAGUUUGAGUUCAGGUUCCCAGUGGUUUUCUUCAUUUUAAACGUGGUUAGGCAAUUGGAGUAUUGAUAACAUUCAAGCCGUUUUUAGUUCAACGCCGCAACUAGAGAAAGAUCCUUUUAAUUUUCAAGCCAAUUAAGUUUUCGGAAUGCUUCAACCAAGUUAUUUCUUUGGGGUUCCACAUCAGUUUUUGGGGUAGCCAUAAACUUAUGAUGAUGAUGAUGAUGAUGAUGCUCUCGCCAAUUGAUUAUUGCUAAUUUUCUUUGUACCUAUUAGCUGUUCCAGGCUAUCUUAUUGCCAUUUUUACAAUGUUACUAAAAUUUGUUGGUAUAGCAGUGCCCUUUCAUUAUAGUUGGCCUCUUAUGAGUGUAAUUAAUCUCAAAUAUCAACAUUAUAAAUUAUGAGUGUAAUUGAUUGGGUAAAUACUCGUUUAAUCCCUAAAUUUUGAUAUAAGUGUCCGUUUAAUCUCCAAAUUUUAAAAAGUGCGUAAAAACACUCUUAUUGUUCAAUAUGUUACAUUCUUAUCAUUGUUUGUUUCUUUUCUUUUACAAUAAUAAUAUUGCAACAAUAUUCUUGACAUUAAUUAAUUUAUUUAUAAAAAAAUUAAUUAGCAAAUUAACCAAUAAAUAUAAGUGUGAAAGAACUAAUAUUUUUUGUAUCUGUUAAACAAUCUUACUAAUAAUUUUUUAUAAAUAAAUUAAUAUUAGCCUACUUAAAGUAAUGUCUAAUAUUUU